CCUACGGGUGGCAGCAGUGGGGAAUAUUGCACAAUGGGGGAAACCCUGAUCCAGCAACGCCGCGUGAGGGAAGAGGGUUUUCGGAUUGAAAAGCUUUGUUAGAAGGGAAAGGGAGGGCCGGUCCUGGCAGGGGAAGCAAGGGCUAACUACGUGCCAGCAGCCGCGGUAAUACGUAGGUGGCAAGCGUUGUUCGGAAAAACUGGGCGUAAAGGAUGCGUAGGCGGUUAAACAAGUUAUAUGUAAAAUAUAUAGGCUUAACCUGUAGAAAGCAUAUAAAACUGUUUAACUAGAGUGCAGGAGAGGUAAGUGGAAUUCCUAGUGUAGCGGUGAAAUGCGUAGAGAUUAGGAAGAACACCAGUGGCGAAGGCGACUUACUGGACUGUAACUGACGCUGAGGCAUGAGAGCAUGGGGAGCAAACAGGAUUAGAUACCCGGGUAGUC
rnacentral:rRNA from 1 species